rnacentral:rRNA from 1 species
AUACGGAGGGGGCUAGCGUUGUUCGGAAUUACUGGGCGUAAAGCGCGCGUAGGCGGUUUUCCAAGUUGGGGGUGAAAUCCCGGGGCUCAACCCCGGAACUGCCCUCAAAACUGGAUGACUAGAGUCCGGGAGAGGUUGGCGGAAUUCCUAGUGUAGAGGUGAAAUUCGUAGAUAUUAGGAAGAACACCAGUGGCGAAGGCGGCCAACUGGACCGGAACUGACGCUAAGGUGCGAAAGCGUGGGGAGCAAACAGGAUUAGAAACCCCAGUAGUCC